UGGGUAACCUGCCUCAAAGAGGGGAAUAGCCUCCCGAAAAGGAGAUUAAUACCGCAUAAUAUGUUUUAGUCGCAUGACUUAAACAUCAAAGGAUUUUCUUUUAGAAAUUCCACUUUGAGAUGGACCCGCGGCGCAUUAGCUAGUUGGUGAGGUAACGGCUCACCAAGGCAACGAUGCGUAGCCGACCUGAGAGGGUGAUCGGCCACAUUGGAACUGAGACACGGUCCAGCUCCGUAGGAG
rnacentral:rRNA from 1 species